rnacentral:rRNA from 1 species
CAUAAUCAUUAGUUUCUUAAUUAGAUACUGGAAUGAAGGGUUGGACGAGAAAAUAACUGUCUCUUUAUAAUUUAUAUAGAAUUUUAUUUUUAAGUUAAAAAGCUUAAAUAAAUUUAAAAGACGAGAAGACCCUAUAGAGUUUUAUAUAAUUUACAUUAAUAUUUAAAUUUGAUUUUUUAUUUAUUUAAUUUAAAUUAUAUUUUGUUGGGGUGAUGAAAAAAUUUAAUUAACUUUUAUUUUAUACAAACAUUAAUUUAUGAAUUAUUGAUCCAUUAAAUUUAAUGAUUAAAAGAUCAAAUUACCUUAGGGAUAACAGCGUUAUUUCUUUUUAGAGUUCUAAUCGAUAAAGAAGUUUGCGACCUCGAUGUUGGAUUAAAAUAUAAUUUUGGUGUAGAAGCUAAAAUAUUAGGUCUGUUCGACCUUUAAAAUUUUACAUGAUCUGAGUUUAAACCGGUGUAAGCCAGGUUGGUUUCUAUCUUUAAAUAAAAAUAUAAUAUUUUAGUACGAAAGGACCAAAUAUUUAUAAUAGUUAU